rnacentral:rRNA from 1 species
UACGUAGGGUCCAAGCGUUAAUCGGAAUUACUGGGCGUAAAGGGCUCGUAGGCGGCCAACUAAGUCAGACGUGAAAUCCCUCGGCUUAACCGGGGAACUGCGUCUGAUACUGGAUGGCUUGAAUCCGGGAGAGGGAUGCGGAAUUCCAGGUGUAGCGGUGAAAUGCGUAGAUAUCUGGAGGAACACCGGUGGCGAAGGCGACAUCCUGGACCGGCAUUGACGCUGAGUGAGCGAAAGCCAGGGGAGCAAACGGG